AGAGUUUGAUCCUGGCUCAGAUUGAACGCUGGCGGCAUGCNUUACACAUGCAAGUCGAACGGCAGCACGGGGGCAACCCUGGUGGCGAGUGGCGAACGGGUGAGUAAUGCAUCGGAACGUGCCCAGUAGUGGGGGAUAACUAGUCGAAAGAUUAGCUAAUACCGCAUACGACCUAUGGGUGAAAGCGGGGGACCUUUACCGGCCUCGCGCUAUCGGAGCGGCCGAUGUCUGAUUAGCUAGUUGGCGGGGUAAAAGCCCACCAAGGCGACGAUCAGUAGCUGGUCUGAGAGGACGACCAGCCACACUGGGACUGAGACACGGCCCAGACUCCUACGGGAGGCAGCAGUGGGGAAUUUUGGACAAUGGGCGCAAGCCUGAUCCAGCCAUGCCGCGUGCGGGAAGAAGGCCUUCGGGUUGUAAACCGCUUUUGGCAGGAACGAAACGGCGCGAGCGAAUAUCUCGCGUUAAUGACGGUACCUGCAGAAUAAGCACCGGCUAACUNCGUGCCAGCAGCCGCGGUAAUACGUAGGGUGCAAGCGUUAAUCGGAAUUACUGGGCGUAAAGCGUACGCAGGCGGCUUUGCAAGACAGGUGUGAAAUCCCCGGGCCUAACCUGGGAACUGCAUUUGUGACNGCAUGGCUAGAGUUUGUCAGAGGGGGGUGGAAUUCCAC
rnacentral:rRNA from 1 species